CGUUGGAAUACCAGUUCCCGCACGAUGACCGAAGUUAAACAACGUCCGGCCUGGUCAGUACCUAGAUGGGUGACCGUUUACGAAUACCGGGUGCUGUAA